CCCUUAGACGUUCUGGACCGCACGCGCGCUACACUGACAAAGGCAACGAGCUACUCUUCACCGAAAGGUGUGGGUAAUCUUUUGAAACUUUGUCGUGCUGGGGAUAGAUCCUUGCAAUUUUUGAUCUUAAACGAGGAAUUCCUAGUAAGCGCAAGUCAUCAACUUGCGUUGAUUACGUCCCUGCCCUUUGUACACACCGCCCGUCGCUACUACCGAUUGAAUGGUUUAGUGAGGCCUUCGGAUCCGCGACUCGUUUGUGGAGAAGUUGGACAAACUCAGUCAUUUAGAGGAAGUAAAAGUCGUAACA
rnacentral:rRNA from 1 species